GACGAACGCUGGCGGCGUGCUUAACACAUGCAAGUCGAACGGAAAGGCCCUGCUUUUGUGGGGUGCUCGAGUGGCGAACGGGUGAGUAACACGUGAGUAACCUGCCCUUGACUUUGUGAUAACUUCAGGAAACUGGGGCUAAUACCGGAUAGGAGCUCCUGCUGCAUGGUGGGGGUUGGAAAGUUUCGGCGGUUGGGGAUGGACUCGCGGCUUAUCAGCUUGUUGGUGGGGUAGUGGCUUACCAAGGCUUUGACGGGUAGCCGGCCUGAGAGGGUGACCGGCCACAUUGGGACUGAGAUACGGCCCAGACUCCUACGGGAGGCAGCAGUGGGGAAUAUUGCACAAUGGGCGGAAGCCUGAUGCAGCAACGCCGCGUGCGGGAUGACGGCCUUCGGGUUGUAAACCGCUUUCGCCUGUGACGAAGCGUGAGUGACGGUAAUGGGUAAGGAAGCACCGGCUAACUACGUG
rnacentral:rRNA from 1 species